rnacentral:rRNA from 1 species
UACGUAGGGUGCAAGCGUUGUCCGGAAUUAUUGGGCGUAAAGAGCUCGUAGGCGGUUUGUCGCGUCCGCUGUGGAAAUCCAGGGCUUAACCCUGGACCUGCAGUGGGUACGGGCAGACUAGAGUGCGGUAGGGGAGAUCGGAAUUCCUGGUGUAGCGGUGAAAUGCGCAGAUAUCAGGAGGAACACCGGUGGCGAAGGCGGCCAUCUGGACGGUAACUGACGCUGAGACGCGAAAGCGUGGGGAGCAAACAGG